rnacentral:misc_RNA from 1 species
CUAAAGAAGAAGAAGAAGAAGAAGCAGCACAUUUUGAAGGGAUAGGGCACUUUGGAAACAAAAAGAGCGAAAUGAGCGAAACAGAGAAGAACCCACUGUUUGAAAUUUGAAGAGACAGAGACUAAGAAAGAUGGAAAGAACGGAAAAAGGAGUGGAGAGAGAAGGGAAAGGCAAAAAGCAACAAGAAUUGGAGGGUAGAACUAGAAAAAAGUUCAAACGCGGGAUUAUACUGGUAGGGAAAAGAGGAGG